AUUGAACGCUGGCGGCAGGCCUAACACAUGCAAGUCGAACGAGUGGCGGACGGGUGAGUAAUGUAUGGGAAACUGCCUGGUGGAGGGGGAUAACUACUGGAAACGGUAGCUAAUACCGCAUACCAUCAGAGGUGCCCAUAUGGGAUUAGCUUGUUGGUGGGGUACAGGCUCACCAAGGCGACGAUCCCUAGCUGGUCUGAGGGGGUGACUAGCCACACUGGAACUGAGACACGGUCCAGACUCCUACGGGAGGCAGCAGUGGGGAAUAUGGCACAAUGGGCGCAAGCCUGAUGCAGCCAUGCCGCGUGUAUGAUGAAGGCCUUCGGGUUGUAAAGUACUUUCAGCGGGGAAGCGUUACCUGCAGAAGAAGCACCGGCUAACUCCGUGCCAGCCGCCGCGGUAAUUC
rnacentral:rRNA from 1 species